GACGAACGCUGGCGGCGUGCUUAACACAUGCAAGUCGAACGGUAAGGCCCUUUCGGGGGUACACGAGUGGCGAACGGGUGAGUAACACGUGAGGAACCUGCCCUUGACUCUGGGAUAACAGUGGGAAACUUCUGCUAAUACCGGAUAUUCAGAUUCUGCCGCAUGGUGGGGUUUGGAAAGCUUUUGUGGUCAAGGAUGGUCUCGCGGCCUAUCAGCUUGUUGGUGAGGUAAUGGCUUACCAAGGCUUCGACGGGUAGCCGGCCUGAGAGGGCGACCGGCCACAUUGGGACUGAGAUACGGCCCAGACUCCUACGGGAGGCAGCAGUGGGGAAUAUUGCACAAUGGGCGAAAGCCUGAUGCAGCAACGCCGCGUGCGGGAUGACGGCCUUCGGGUUGUAAACCGCUUUCAGUAGGGACGAAGCGCAAGUGACGGUACCUACAGAAGAAGCACCGGCUAACUACGUGCCAGCCGCCGCCGUAACAC
rnacentral:rRNA from 1 species